rnacentral:lncRNA from 1 species
AGGUAAUGACUGGAAAGAAUACAAUGAAGGCCUUUAUCUUCACAUGAGAAUUAAAAGCUGUGCUGGGAGUGCAUGACUGAUACCAUUAUGGCACAUAGCAUGGAGCUGCUUUAGAACGUGACUGAAUUGCUGCAUGGAACACGACUGAAUUGCUGUGGACUUGCGAAGGUAUGUCCUCUCCUGCCUAGCUCAUUCAUGGCUUUCUUGUAAUUUUAAACUAUACUUAAGUUUUAGCAAUAACUGAAGUUUUUGUACUUUUGUCUAUCUAAGGUUAGUUUAACACUGCCAUUCUGAUCUUACAAGACCAUAAAAAUCUGGCUAUCAAUGAUAAUGUUAAAAAAAAGUGAGAAGUAGAACAAAUAACUUGGCAAGGCUAAGGCUUUGACUGAGCCUGUACUUGGAUGGGGAAUUCCUGGCCCUGUACUCCUAGCACCAAACCUCACCUGCAGCCAUUAAUGCCACACAAAGCUUUCCCUUGGGAAAGUGACCAGAAGCAGCCUGUAGCUGACAUUGGCAACCUCUGGGGAGAAAAACAGAAGUGGGAGCUGACUGAAGCAUGAACAACUUCUAGAUGAAACACAUGUCUCAUGGAAAGUGGAUUACUUUUUUUUUUUUCCCAAGCAAACCUUCCCCUCUAUUUCAACUGCUGUAGCAAAUCUUAUUGCUAGUGGUACAAAGAAAAUAAAAUUCAUUUAAUUCACA